rnacentral:rRNA from 1 species
AGAGUUUGAUCCUGGCUCAGGACGAACGCUGGCGGCGUGCCUAAUACAUGCAAGUCGAGCGGACAGAUGGGAGCUUGCUCCCUGAUGUUAGCGGCGGACGGGUGAGUAACACGUGGGUAACCUGCCUGUAAGACUGGGAUAACUCCGGGAAACCGGGGCUAAUACCGGAUGCUUGUUUGAACCGCAUGGUUCAAACAUAAAAGGUGGCUUCGGCUACCACUUACAGAUGGACCCGCGGCGCAUUAGCUAGUUGGUGAGGUAACGGCUCACCAAGGCAACGAUGCGUAGCCGACCUGAGAGGGUGAUCGGCCACACUGGGACUGAGACACGGCCCAGACUCCUACGGGAGGCAGCAGUAGGGAAUCUUCCGCAAUGGACGAAAGUCUGACGGAGCAACGCCGCGUGAGUGAUGAAGGUUUUCGGAUCGUAAAGCUCUGUUGUUAGGGAAGAACAAGUACCGUUCGAAUAGGGCGGUACCUUGACGGUACCUAACCAGAAAGCCACGGCUAACUACGUGCCAGCAGCCGCGGCAAUACGUAGGUGGCAAGCGUUGUCCGGAAUUAUUGGGCGUAAAGGGCUCGCAGGCGGUUUCUUAAGUCUGAUGUGAAAGCCCCCGGCUCAACCGGGGAGGGUCAUUGGAAACUGGGGAACUUGAGUGCAGAAGAGGAGAGUGGAAUUCCACGUGUAGCGGUGAAAUGCGUAGAGAUGUGGAGGAACACCAGUGGCGAAGGCGACUCUCUGGUCUGUAACUGACGCUGAGGAGCGAAAGCGUGGGGAGCGAACAGGAUUAGAUACCCUAGUAGUCC